ACAUCAUUUGGACUGUCGGUCUACCGAGCAAUAUCACCCGCCCGGCGUAAGAUCUUCCCUUUAUCGU
rnacentral:pre_miRNA from 1 species